rnacentral:rRNA from 1 species
UACGUAGGGUGCAAGCGUUGUUCGGAAUUACUGGGCGUAAAGGGAGCGUAGGCGGGUUCGUAAGUUAGGAGUUUAAUACAUGGGCUCAACCCAUGGCUUGCUUUUAAGACUGCGAAUCUUGAGUAUGGGAGAGGGUGAUGGAAUUCCAGGUGUAGCGGUGGAAUGCGUAGAUAUCUGGAAGAACACCAGUAGCGAAGGCGGUCGCCUGGCCCAAUACUGACGCUGAUGCUCGAAAGCUAGGGGAG